rnacentral:rRNA from 1 species
AGCAGCCGCGGUAAUUCCAGCUCCAAUAGCGUAUAUUAAAGUUGUUGCAGUUAAAAAGCUCGUAGUUGAAUUUCGGGAUUGGCGCAUCGGUCGUGCCUCACGGGGUAUGAACUGGUGCAGUCAAUUUCUCACCUUCUGGAGAACCGCGAUGUCCUUAAUUGGAUGCCGCGGGGAACCAGGACCUUUACUUUGAAAAAAUUAGAGUGUUUAAAGCAGGCAUUUUUGCUUGAAUACAUUAGCAUGGAAUAAUAAAAUAGGACGGCAUGGUUCUAUUUUGUUGGUUUCUAGGACCACCGUAAUGAUUAAUAGGGAUAGUUGGGGGCAUUAGUAUUCAAUUGUCAGAGGUGAAAUUCUUGGAUUUAUUGAAGACUAACUACUGCGAAAGCAUUUGCCAAGGAUGUUUUCAUUAAUCAAGAACGAAAGUUAGGGGAUCGAAGACGAUCAGAUACCGUCGUAGUCUUAACCAUAAACUAUGCCGACUAGGAAUCAGACGAUGUUAAUUUCUUAAUGACUCGUUUGG